UACAGAGGGGGCAAGCGUUAUUCGGAAUUAUUGGGCGUAAAGGGCGCGUAGGCGGCAUGGCAAGUGGAUGGUGAAAUCCCUCGGCUUAACCGAGGAACUGCCGUCCAAACUGCUUCGCUUGAGACCGGGAGAGGUGAGUGGAAUUCCCAGUGUAGCGGUGAAAUGCGUAGAUAUUGGGGAGGAACACCAGUGGCGAAGGCGGCUCACUGGACCGGUACUGACGCUGAUGCGCGAAAGCGUGGGGAGCAAACGGG
rnacentral:rRNA from 1 species